rnacentral:rRNA from 1 species
AGCAGCCGCGGUAAUUCCAGCUCCAAUAGCGUAUAUUAAAGUUGUUGCAGUUAAAAAGCUCGUAGUUGAAUUUCGGGAUUAGUACGUUGGUCGUGCCUUCGGUACGUACUGGUGUUACUGAUUCCUACCUUCUGACGAACCAUCAUGUCAUUAAUUUGGUGUGGCGGGGAAUCAGGACUGUUACUUUGAAAAAAUUAGAGUGUUUAAAGCAGGCUCGCGCUUGAAUACAUUAGCAUGGAAUAAUGAAAUAGGACGUUGACCCUAUUUUGUUGGUUUCUAGGAUUGACGUAAUGAUUAAUAGGGAUAGUUGGGGGCAUUAGUAUUCAAUUGUCAGAGGUGAAAUUCUUGGAUUUAUUGAAGACUAACUACUGCGAAAGCAUUUGCCAAGGAUGUUUUCAUUAAUCAAGAACGAAAGUUAGGGAUCGAAGACGAUCAGAUACCGUCGUAGUCUUAACCAUAAACUAUGCCGACUAGGGAUCGGAUGAUGUUAUUUUUAUGUACUCAUUCGGCGCCUUACGGG